AAUACUCCAUUGGAGGACGAAUUUUCUACCGACGAUGCUACCGCCACGAGGACCGCCGCCGAAGGCGACCAUUAAUACCGGAGUGACCCCUGGAAAAGGCGAGAAAGCUGUGCGGAAGUCGCCGCUGUCGAUUCGCCACUCCCUGUCAACGCCACAGUUUCCGUGGCUGAAGUUGAAAAGGCCGAAAGAAGGUCCCAGAUCACUAGAAGGAGAAAGUGGUUGCUGCGCUCGUUGAGGAGGGAAAAAAACAUAUCGAAGAGACAGUGGCUGCGGCACAGGUUGUGCCGGAAGUCGUUGCGGAACGCGCUGCCAUUGAGCCCAAAUCCAAUCCGAUCCUUGCCUCCUUCCUUCCAGAUAAUGGUGCUUGCAGAAGCUUCCAUGUCCCAGACCAGUACCAAACCCGAGCUCGACUCUCUCAAUUCGAUCCCGGAGCCACAAGUUGUGGAGGAGUUCAAACGAGUUGUCGAAGAAGCGGUCGUUGAACAGAUUGAGGAGAAGCCGGUUGAAGCUCCGGCUCCAAUUGUUGGGGUUAAUUGUCGAGGUUAAGGACUCUGUUGAAGAUUAGGAGGAAGAUAUUGAACCACAGGAGUCUGUGCAGGCCGUUACGGGCACUCCGUAGCUGAAGAAAAUUGUCACCGAGGUGGUGGACGAGAACCUGGACAAGAUUGAGGAGUUGGUCCAGUUUGAGGCCGUGCCGCUGACUCCGGUUGCGGAAGAGCCAACCGUACAAAAGGAUAAGCCCGAAUCGACCCUCGGAGUAGAUCCUAAAUCCGACGAUUCGGGCGCCUAUUUACAGUAGUGGUAACCUUUAAAUGACCCCGAGCCGAAAGAGAAUUCUUCGCCGAAUGAUGUAAUCCGGUGGCGGAUAAACGCUUGGCUGUGAUUCCAACAUCCAAACAGAACGUGCAGGUUCUGCAGCAGUCGCUCUCGAAUCUUAGCCUGGCAAGAGGGAAUCAAGUCGGAAACUCCUCCAACAACAACACCACUGGCAAAUGUUUUACGGUCGCGGCGCUUAAGUCUACGGUCAACAAAAUGGUUCCUACGUCGUCUUCGUCCAACCCGCCGACGGUCAUCACAUUGGUGACGGCGAACGUCAUCCAGACUACAAACAACCUAAUCAGUGAGCUGGCCGCACAAUCGCUCGAGCUGGCCGGUUGAAUCGGUAGUUCUGCAUCCACGGCCACGACCGCAACCAGUACGGGUACGAGCAGUGCCGCGAGAAGCCAGAGCCGCAAGUAGCAUCUCGGUCAGAAGCAGCUCAAACUCGAGGUCGAGUGGCCGAGGUGCAGACAGCACCACAACAAAAACCAUUAGAAACAACAAAAGUGGUCCGGCAAUACUAAUUUAAGCAGCUAUAACGGUGUUCACGGCUGGUAGAGAUAUCAGCAGCAGUUUUGAGCAGGGUUUUGUGCUCAACCAGCUGGUCCUGAACACGCUUUGCAACCAAAAUGUCCUGCAGCAGUUCGCGCAACGGUUCAUGGUGGACACGCACAAGCCCCGUGGCUCGACCACCAAUCCGGACGGACCGUCGUUGCCACCGUUGGUAAAGGACUUCCCGACAACGCCGAACUGGCCGAUCUGCCGGGAAUCUUCUGCGUCGUCAUGUACGACUUUCGGUUGGACCUACUACCCACGCCCGAGUUUGUCCAGGUGCACCAGCAGAUGUCCAUUAUUAUUCAGCUGGUAUGGAGCCCAGGACAAACCGACGAAGGCUUGGUGGUGGCGGCGGACAGCUCGCGGGUUACUAUCAACAACUUUGAGUGUGUCGACGCGCUCAACGGCUGCACCGACAUCUCGAUUGCCUUACAGGACACUGUAAAACAUAAUCUUGUUAAUUUAAUAACGGUUCUUUAAAAAUCUUCAGGAAAUGGCGGUCAGCUGUCAUGACAAUGACGCGUACGCGAACCUAAUCGGCAUGAACUCGUUCUGCAAAAAGCUCUGGGCCGGCAACCAGAACCAGCUGGUGACGUCCGGUAAGUUGUCACCAAUCGAGGACGACGCGGUUGGUAGCCUGGAUGAAGUCAAGCAGUGUGGCUUCCGGCAGGCACACAGGCUUGCCAGCUGAAGACGUUCGACUCGUAGACGUGAUAAUGAUGAACAAAUCGGCCGCUCCGCUGCUGUUCCGCGGUUCUGAUGUAGAAUACUCCCAAUUUUAAUCAAAAGUGUAGAUCGAGCCACAGAUAGCACUGCAUCAGCCGUUCAAGUAAAACUGAGCGGUCAAGCAGCAGGUCAACCUAAUCAAUUACUAGAACGUGAACGAUUUCUGACUAACAGGAUAUCGUUGCCA